rnacentral:lncRNA from 1 species
UCUAUUUCAUACUAUUCUUCUCAUACUAUUCUCUUGUCAUUUUAUCUUCUUCUAUAAACUUUUGGCAAUUGACAAGGGCUUGUUCUUUCUCUCCCUGGGGUCAUGCCCAAAGAAGGAGGAUUGAUAGCGAGCUAUAAGAAUUUUAUUUUGGAGUCGUGCAUUGUCGAAAGUACCUGCACGAAGGGGAGGCCACAUGACUUUACAACAGCGAUUAUCGCGACUCUCUUAGGCCAGCAUUUAACUUUAUUCUCAUAUUUACUUCAUUUGAUUCAUGCUUGUAAUUGAUAGUACAUUACACAAAUCACGUUAAUUUUUACAACAAUGUAUCCAAAUGAAGAGUGUCACUUAUUAAUCGCACAUGUUAAAAAAAUUAACACGGACAGAGACACAUGAGAGUGUGAGUCCAAUCAGUCAUCUAAUUUUAGAAGCUCUAAUCAAAUUAGAAAAUCAUAACCGUAUUACCUUAAUAAUGAUUCUGUCUCAAUGCAAGAACUAUGUCCACUUGUUCUUACAAAUUUACGCUACAAGAAGUGAAAAUGAUUACAAUUACAAUCUCACACUUCUUAAUUUGUGCGUCGGAUAGGAACUGACCCUUUUAGUGCACUUGAACAAAAAAUAUACCUUCAAAAAUUCGUGAUAAAAAACAUGUGUUAUAUUUAAGUUAACACCAAGAGAGGAUAAUCAGAUGCAGUUGUCCAUGUUGAUGCGAAUGGAAAGCCUACCACCCAUAACAAUAAAAUCACAAUAAGGAAAAAGACAAAAGAAUGUGUAAGUUUUAUAUUGGUUUGUCUCAAUAUGAGAUUAGCUCAAAAUUUGUCAUUACAAUAUUUUACUAUGAUAAAAGAAUUUUACAAGGGAAAAAACCUCAUAACCUAUUUUCUCCAUUAUAACUAGCUAAACCCUCAUAACGACUCACUACUUAGUACUUACAGAAAAAUUAGAGCAAUAAUUAGAUUUCACAACUUAAUACAUACACUCGUCGAUAAAGUCCAUAAAUGUAGCAAAUCAAUUUCUGUUUAGCAGCAAAGUAACACUAUUUGACAAGAUAAUCAAACGAGCAUACCUGGUUGAUUUGGUAAAGUAGAUUGUUAGUCUAAUGGAGAAAAAUAUUAAAAAGGAAAAGAAGUUAUUGUUUCUAAUGCUGCAUAUGAAACAUACCUUACCUGAAUAAAUCUAACCCUUUUUGAGACCUAUGGUGGCUGCAUAUAUCAGGGUUUUGAAUUCAAUGUGCCUUUUGUCCCUGAAACACUGUGUCAAUGAAAUAGUUCUUUCCAUAGAGAGAAAUAAAGGACUGAGAGACUCACUUCAUUUGCAGUAUGAAAAUGUGAUCCUUUAGCCUUGGUAGUACUCAUUUCUCGCAAUCAUCGUAGAACUGACAUGUGAAUAUGAGAUUGAAAUGUAGCCAAUGAUGACUCUCCGAAAAGACACCCCUAGAAUAUUGUCCCAUAAUUCUAUGGGCUCCCAACAUUUUUCAUAUAAACCUUUGACGAGCUCGUCGGCAAGUCAUCCUUGGCUACACCAUCCACACAUCUUAUCCACAUGCAAGACCUAAGGUGAUUACAAUCUUCUGAAGGAAGAACCAAGAAAUGUUUUCAAAAACUCAAAAGUAUUUGAUGUAAACUGUUAAAUUCGAGAGAUUUAAGGUUAUAUAUUGUAACUAAAAAAGAGAAGUUCAGUAGGGGAUGUGAUGGGGUGGGUUGGGGGGUCAUUAUUGGAGUAGUAUGAGAUCAUGUAGGGUAGGGCAAGGUUGAGGAAUUC